CCGGUCGGCACGCACCAAUUCGCUCAGGCAACCAAAAAGAGUACUGCAGUACUGAAGGCAGGGAGCCAGUCCGCAUGCACCAAUUAGCUCAGGCAACCAAAAAGAGUACUGCAGCACUGAAGGCGGGGAGCCAGUCGGCACGCACCAAUUAGCUCAGGCAACCAAAAAGAGUACUGCAGUACUGAAGGGGGGGAGCCGGUCGGCACGCACCAAUUCGCUCAGGCAACCAAAAAGAGUACUGCAGCACUGAAGGCGGGGAGCCGGUCGGCACGCACCAAUUAGCUCAGGCAACCAAAAAGAGUACUGCAGUACUGAAGGCGGGGAGCCAGUCGGCACGCACCAAUUAGCUCAGACAACCAAAAAGAGUACUGCAGCACUGAAGGGGGGGAGCCAGUCGGCACGCAGCAAUUAGCUCAAACAACCAAAAAGAGUACUGCAGUACUGAAAGCGGGGAGCCGGUCGGCAUGCACCAAUUAGCUCAGGCAACCAAAUAGAGUACUGCAGUACUGAAGGCGGGGAGCCGGUCGGCACGCACCAAUUAGCUCAGACAACCAAAAAGAGUACUGCAGUACUGAAAGCGGGG